rnacentral:rRNA from 1 species
CACUCCUGCGGUAGGCAGCAGUGGGGAAUAUUGCACAAUGGGCGCAAGCCUGAUGCAGCCAUGCCGCGUGUAUGAAGAAGGCCUUCGGGUUGUAAAGUACUUUCAGCGGGGAGGAAGGCGAUAAGGUUAAUAACCUUGUCGAUUGACGUUACCCGCAGAAGAAGCACCGGCUAACUCCGUGCCAGCAGCCGCGGUAAUACGGAGGGUGCAAGCGUUAAUCGGAAUUACUGGGCGUAAAGCGCACGCAGGCGGUCUGUCAAGUCGGAUGUGAAAUCCCCGGGCUCAACCUGGGAACUGCAUUCGAAACUGGCAGGCUAGAGUCUUGUAGAGGGGGGUAGAAUUCCAGGUGUAGCGGUGAAAUGCGUAGAGAUCUGGAGGAAUACCGGUGGCGAAGGCGGCCCCCUGGACAAAGACUGACGCUCAGGUGCGAAAGCGUGGGGAGCAAACAGGAUUAGAAACCCGAGUAGUCCCAUGA